UGGAUUGAGAGCUUGCUCUNAUGAAGUUAGCGGCGGACGGGUGAGUAACACGUGGGUAACCUGCCCAUAAGACUGGGAUAACUCCGGGAAACCGGGGCUAAUACCGGAUAACAUUUUGAAACUGCAUGGUUUCGAAAAUUGAAAGGCGGCUUUCGGCUGUCCACUUUAUGGAUGGNACCCGCGUCGCNAUUAGCUUAGUUGNGUGGAGGUUAACGGGCUCACCCAAGGCNAACGUAUGCGNUAGCCGNACCNUGGAGAGGGUGNAUCGGCCCACAACUGGGNACUGAGACACGGGCCCCAGAACUCCUACGGGGAAGGGCAGNCAGUAGGGGGNAAUCCUUCCCGCCAAAUGGGGACGAAAGUCCUUGAACGGGAGCCAACGCCCGCCCGGUGAAGUUGGAUUGAAAGGGC
rnacentral:rRNA from 1 species